rnacentral:rRNA from 1 species
CAUUAAUGAAUUUUGAUUGGGAGUUGAUGCUGGCAGUCAUUUCUUUUGGCUGCAUGUGCUUGCCCCUAAUAAUCUUUAUCCAAACACCUGUGCAUGAUUUCGAGGGUUUCCAAGUUGACUUUGUUGUCUUCCCGGAUUCCCUUGUUUUUCCCACUUUUAUACACUGCUUGCAAUGUCGAAUGUGCUAUGUGCCGCAAGGCCUUUAACGCAAUAUACAACUUUUAACAACGGAUCUCUUGGCUCUCGCAUCGAUGAAGAACGCAGCGAAAUGCGAUAAGUAAUGUGAAUUGCAGAAUUCAGUGAAUCAUCGAAUCUUUGAACGCACCUUGCGCUCCCUGGUAUUCCGGGGAGCACGCCUGUUCGAGUGUCGUGAAAUUUCUCAAGCUAAGAUGGUUUUUCUUAGUCUUGGUGUUGGGCUCUGCCGUGUCUCUUAUUGGGAUGGCUGGCCUUAAAAGCAUUAGCUGGCCUUUAUGUGGGGCAAUUGGUUCUACUCGGCGUGAUUAAUGAUUUUGACCGCUGAGGACAUCUUUAUGGAUGGCCAGUUCUCACUUGGGUUGCUUCUAAUCUUGGUUGUACGGAUUGUUGAUCCGUGUGCCUCAUUUUUCAGCUUUGACCUCGAAUCAGGUGGGACUACCCGCUGAACUUAAGCAUAUCAAUAAGCGGAGGAAAAGAAACUAACAAGGAUUCCCCUAGUAACGGCGAGUGAAGCGGGAAAAGCUCAAAUUUAAAAUCUGGCAAUCUUUGGUUGUCCGAAUUGUAAUCUAGAGAAGCGUUUUCCGUGCUGGACUGUGUGUAAGUUUCCUGGAUACGGAACAUCACAGA